AUUGAACGCUGGCGGCAAGCCUAACACAUGCAAGUCGAACGAGUGGCGGACGGGUGAGUAAUACCUGUGAAACUGCCUCAUGUAGGGGGAUAACUACUUGACACGGUAGCUAAUACCGCAUACCCUCGGAUGUGCCCAGAUGGGGUUAGCUAGUAGGUGGGGUAAAGGCUCACCUAGGCGACGAUCCCUAGCUGGUCUGAGAGGAUGACAAGCCACACUGGAACUGCAACACGGUCCAGACUCCUACGUGAGGCAGCAGUGGGGAGUAUUGCAAAAUGGGCGCAAGCCUGAUGCAGCCAUGCCGCGUGUAUGAAGAAGGCCGUCGGGUUGUAAAGUACUUUCAGCGGGGAGGCGUUACCCGCAGAAGAAGCACCGGCUAACUCCGUGCCAGCAGCCGCGGUAAUUC
rnacentral:rRNA from 1 species